AGCGGGAUGGGGCCGCGCGCUCCGCGCCUCCUUUUCCGCUGUUGGCGUGACGGGCCCUGCGUCACACAGCGGUCGGAGCUGCGAGGUCUUUUCUAGCCGUAAAGAUUCCGUGACUCUGUGGUUUGCGCUCCGCCAGGCGACUCAGUUUCUAGCCUAAGUCAUUCUAAACCACUCGGAAGAAUCGCUCCGAGACGUGAAACUGUGGCCCCCCGCGUCAGCGUGUGCGUUCCGUCUCCUGGGGGGUUCUCUCCUUCGGGCGCUCUUGUAGGGAAAUGACCCGUUAAAGCAGGAAAGCGAGCACUUCAGCGAAGCCGGCGGGGCGGGGAGCAGUGCUGCCGGGCUGCGGGCGAGCGGAGCUCCGCUGCGUUACGCGAACCGCAGCGACCACAGCACCGGGCGUUAUUUACAACCGCCCCUCCACCGCGGCAGAGCUCCGAGGGCCCCUGCCCGCCGGGGAAGGACACAACGCCGCGGUGUCGCAACCGUCCCGCACCGCAGAGUCGGGGAAAUUCCGCCCGCUUGCAUCAUUUCUCGGAACGGCCGCACCGCGCCCGUAUCGCUGCGCGCCGCCGCCGGAACUACCUCCCCGCAGCUGGCGGAAAGCCCCGCCCCUCCGGGCAGCUCAGGAAUCCGAUUGGCUCCCUCGGCUUGAUUGACACCGGUAGCCGUCCGCCAUGUUGUUUGCGGGAGCCGUGUCCCCGCGUGGCCCCGGGGCUUUGCGGCGCCGCGUCCCUUCAGCCGCGGUUUCACUGGGUUCUGAGGGCAGGAGAAGGGCGCCCCGGUGCGGAGAGUGGGGCUGCGGACUUCCUGUGGAUUGACGGCUGUGCUGUGGGCAGGGGACCGGUUAGGAGGAGAGCGUGGGGCCGGGUUUCCUUAGGGCAGCCCUCUCUCAUGCCAGCGGCUCUGAGCCCUCGUCCCGCAGCUCAGCCGAGCGCCGUGGGGGUGUGGAGCAGGGAAAGCGUGCUCCAGCAGGGAGCCCUUCAGCAAGGCAGGCCCACAGCACCGCCAGCGGGUCGUGCUCUCAUAGCUGGCGGGUGUGUGCCUGUGGGACCUGUCAGCCAGGCGUGCCCAGCACUGGAAAGUUGUUAUUUUCCCUUCAUUGCUGAGGAAGAGCAAACCUGAGGGCUCACGGAGCAGGGCCGGGUUGUAGCAUCAUCCUUAACUGAGCAAAGAGCCAGCGCCGCUCCUUGCUGCCAGGGCUCCUUGUGCUGGUACGGGUGGGAAGGAGCAUUUGUGGGGAGAUACAAAUCCAAGAUGCUGGUCCAUCAGUUUGAUCAGGGCAGUGUUGCCAGGCUGUGGCAGGAGGGCUGUGCCGAGGAGCUGGCGGUGCACGAGGCCUGGGUACCAUCAAGGGCAGCAAAGGAGGUGAGAGCAGCCGGGUGCGGCACUGGGCUCUGUGUCAUGGUCAGGGUGAGGCUUUACAAACAAGGCUUUCAGAGUCCACAGUCCACAGUGCUUGUUUGUCAGUCUCCCCUUCCGUUUGUAUUUGGGGUUUGAGAGCCAGUCUGUAACUAUCGCUGAAAUAGUGCCUUUUCAGAAGGAUUUAAUUGCUUUUCCCGUUUCCCCCAGUGCUGGGUGGUGCUGCAGUUUGUGGCUCAGCAGGGGUUUGGUUAGCUGGAAGGGUUCUGUACCCACCCUAUUUCCUGGCCCUUUCACAACUUCCUUCCCUUUAGCCGCACACUGCACAGCCACUGAGAUUUUAAAAACAAUUUUACAUAGAUUUAAGAAGCCCACCAUCAACCUGGAGGGUCGGAGAUCUUUCGUUUUAGAAACUUCCAGCAGCUCUGUUUGGUGCGUUGCACAGCCAGUGAACACACAAUGCUCGUGCUAAGCAUCUCUGCAACGGCGAAAGCCAUUUACAGAUCACCAAAAGUACUGCAGAUUAAAGAAGUAAUAAAGGGGAGCUGGGUAAAGAAAUCCAACAGUUGUAUUGAUUCUCUAACCCCCAAGUGCUGAAGGUGAGGAUAUCAGGUUCCUGCUAUUUGCAGGGGGUGAGCAGCUCUUUCCAUUUCCAUGCAGUGAGCAGAAGGUGCCAAAAGGCUGGGAAGAAGGAAGAGCAAGAGUCAUGCAAGCAGCAGGUGUCUGUCAUCACUGUGCAACUUGCCUGCCCAUUUGUUUUUCCCUUCCUGCACACAGCCUUGGUCUAUUGGUUUGAAUUUGUGCUGGUUUUCCAUGUUGUACUUUGAUGGUUUAAAAACUGAAGAGAAGAAGAUUUGCUUUACUAGACGCCUUGAUCUGCUUGUACUGUUCUUAAAGAUUCUUCUCAUUUUGGAGCAUAUAUUUUUCAAAUCAGUAAAGUUGAGCAAUGAUGUUGUCAUCAUUGACGUUGUCCCCAUUGCUGUUGUGCAACUGAAAGUCUUAGCAGCACCACAAAGUUUGGUGGUAGCAUCUUUAAAAAAAAAAAAAAAAAAAGGGAGCAAACAGACUGCAACACCUGAUGAGCUGGUACCUGAUGCCUCCACGCUGGUAGAGUGGAGCUACAUUAAUACAUCAUAGAAUGUCUUAGGUUGGAAGAGAACUUAAAUGUAAUCUAGUUCCAACCCACCUGCCGUGGGCUGGCUGCCCAGGGCCCCAUCCAGCCUGGCCCUGAGCACCCCCAGGGACAGGGCACCCACUGCUCUCUGGCCUCACCACCCUCCAAGUAAAGAAUUUCUUCCUAACUUCUAAUUAAAUCUUUAAUCUAAUGCUUUAUUUUGUAACACCAUCCACAGGAGGUAGAGCCCCUGUGGUCACCUUGCUGUAGAACCAUACCCAGAUGCAUGCUGUAGACAGCUUAAACUGAUUAGCACAGCAGUUAAUAAGUUCAUGCGUUUUGCCAGGAACCAAUGCGUUGCUGGAAAACAGUGGCAAUCAGUAACUGCUGGCUGAAUCAUGGAGGUGAGUACAUUAAUGAGUCUGAUGUGCCCUUUGGCCUGGAGUCAUAUUUGGAAGCUCUUUAAGUUGACUAUGUGUACAUAACUACUGGCAUCAAUGUGAACACUAAAAUACCCGUCUUUGGUUUCAAAAGUUCACGCAACAGGCUGCAAUCAUGUACAGCAUUUGCAACACCCAUGCCCAAGCACCGGGCUGCCAGGAGGCAUCGUCAGAGCCCCCACCAGCCCCACUGCUGGCUGUGGAUUUGGGGCAGGAUGAGUCUCUAACUCACCUGAGCAAAGCGAAUAGUCCUGGGAUACGGCUGCAGCAUUGUAUGGCACCUCCCAAAUCUGUAGUGUCUGUCCUGCUCCCCUUUGGUAUCCACACCCUUGCACGCUUCUGCAGCACCUUGCGAUGCUGUUGCAUUUUUCCCUUCUGUGCAGGUUCAGACUCCAAAGCUGAGCAGUGAGCUGCACUGGCAGAGGAUGGGCAAAGCUGAAAAGAAGGUGACACCAGUUUCCGAGUGAACCUCGUGGGAAAGGAGCUGCAGGGUAUCCAGAAACCUCCAUCCCAGUGGUGCAUUCCUCGUUUCUUGCCGGUGGAGCCACUGCUGGUGUCUGGCUUAAAGUCCUUAAAGUCUAUCAAGAAAAGAUUCCAAUCAGCAAGCAUUUCCUACCAUCUGAUCUCGAGCAGCUCACGUAUUGGCAAACAGUAGUUUGGUGCAUUUUCAAACUGGACACCGUGCUUAGCGUCCUUUUGGUUCAAACCUGUGUUCCAGCACAUUUAAAACUCACGCCUGUUUUUCCCAUGGACUCACAUCAGUACUCAAGGCAAAGCGAGUGGAAUUUAUCAGAUCUUACCAUCAACAGACAACGAUGUGGAGGCAGCAGGCAUUCAGAUGCAGAUCAGCGAGCACGUUUCAUCUUUGUGCACGUUUUGUGGCUGAAGUGAACUGGUUUGAGAACUGUCAUUGAAUGUGUCCAGCUAAUACCAACCCUGGCACUUAGUGCACCGGCCUUUGAACUGCAGCAGGCAGCUUCUGAGGAAGGGCAGGGCUGGUGGCAGCGCCAUCACUGCAGUUUGCUCAUGCAGCUCUGAGUGCUAAGUCACGUCUGGUUUUUGGGGAAGGCAGCUAGCUGGGCAAGGACACCUUAAACCACUGUAGAUAGUCACCCAAAACGUGGGACUGUGGUACAGUGCCUCUGCUGCCAAGCUGGCUCUGAGCAGCAGCUUCUGUUGCACCCAGGCUCUGACUCAGCCCCUUCCAAAGGCCAGCAGUGCCACCUACCAGCUUUUGGAGUGGGGAAAUGAGCAACCAGGCUUGGUGUUAUCCACACUGACUGAUCACAGCGUGCUUUAAAACAGCAAUAUGCUCUGCACAUGUGCUUGCACACGCAUCUGCCUUGGCUUCGUCUUGGGAACAUUACCAUCACCGAUAGCAUUUCCAUCUGGAAGUAAGAAAACUGGGACAGUGUCAAAUGGAAGAAUGUGACAUUGAGCUUGGGAGAGGUGCCCUGAGCUCACAGCAUGGCCCUGUGCUUUGGCGAGAGGCUCUUGCACCCGGUGCCAUCAGCAGAAGACCUGAGCAGUUCAUUCUUUACACCGCGCACCUCUCCAGAGCCGAUGCUCCGUGUGCAGAUGCGCUUCUCACAGAUUAUCACCACCGAGCAAUCUGUAGCUGCAGGCAUGCGAGCAAAAAGGCAAAGGGUCAAAGCUUCAGCCUGGAACAAAUCACAGCGAGCCACCAGCACGGAGCGCGAAGAGAAGUGAGCAACAGGGGAGAUGGAAAAGAACAGGCUGUGUCCUGACAGGCAGACCUCAGCAAGACAGAUUUAGCUCGCGUUCAGACAGGAGGAUAUUUGUCACUGCGAGGACAGGCCUAAAUUAUUUUUAGUGGAUGCAUCAUGAGUCCGCAGCUUUAAAGGACAGUGAAAGAAAGAUCAGCUUGUCUAGUGAGAGCUUAUCCUGUUCUCUUCGAGUAUAUGCAGCCCUGGGAAGCUGAGGAAUGUGUCAGUACAUGCAAGACACCAUGUGCUGCUUCAAGUACAAUGUCUGCUUUUAUUGCUGCUGGUUGUGUGACACUAGCAAUCAGCAAACCCUGACAUCACACGUGCUGUCCUUACCCUGGGCCACGCACACAGCAGCACGCCUGCAGGCUGAGCCCAACGGAGCAUUUCCCAAUAAAACCCCCUGGAGUUUGAAAAA